AAUGAACGCUGGCGGCGCGCCUAAUACAUGCAAGUCGAGCGAGAAGACGUAGCAAUACGUUUGUAAAGCGGCGAACGGGUGAGGAAUACAUGGGUAACCUACCCUCGAGUGGGGAAUAACUAGCCGAAAGGUUAGCUAAUACCGCGUACGCUUCUUGGACUUCGGUUCAGGGAGGGAAAGCGAUACCGUGGGUAUCGCGCUCUUGGAUGGGCUCAUGUCCUAUCAGCUUGUUGGGAGGUAACGGCUCACCAAGGCUUCGACGGGUAGCUGGUCUGA
rnacentral:rRNA from 1 species